AUGAACAUCUUGGCUAGUGGAAUGACGACGCGAACUAAGAUAUUCGGGUUGCAAAUCAGAAUUCCGGCCAUCCUCAAAGGCAGAAUUCCCGAAAAUAAUUUGCCCAUUUUCGGCGGU
rnacentral:rRNA from 15 species